rnacentral:rRNA from 1 species
AUGGUGAAGAAGGAGGGGCCGUGCUGCCACUGCGGAAUCAUGGGCAGCCCUAUCUGGCGAAACGGGCCACCCGAGAAGCCAGUGCUCUGCAAUGCGUGUGGGACAAGAUGGAGGAAAAAGGGUACACUGGAGAACUACACACCAACGCGUCGUCCCCAAGAUGCUGAAGCAGAGAGGAAACAACACAAGAAAAAGCCCGUCCGCAGAAUAGUGAAGAAAGAACCAUCUUCUCAUCACAACUUGGGGAAGACAGGGGAUGCUGCUGACACUUUUAGCAAUCCAUCUGGUUUUGGAUCAGCGGCAUCGUAUUCAGGUUCAGCGCAAUCACAUGCUUGGGAGUCACUGGUACCAUCAAGAAAAAGGACUUGUGUCGCUCGUCGUCGUAAGCCGUCAUCGCUGGAAACGCUUGCAGAGGAUCUCAACUCCAUAAUGCACCAAGAGAAGUUAUGUUCUGGUUCAGGGGUUUGUACCAUUCCAGGAUCCUCGGAGGAAGACCUACUGAUUUAUCAUAGCGAGACUGCAGUUGGAUCCUUUGAGAUCGGUUACGGAAGCAUGCUCCUUACACAUCCAUUCAAGCAUGCUUCUUAA